rnacentral:rRNA from 1 species
GACGAACGCUGGCGGCGUGCUUAACACAUGCAAGUCGAACGGAAAGGCCCUGCGUUUGUGGGGUGCUCGAGGGGCGAACGGGUGAGUAACACGUGAGUAACCUGCCCUUGACUUUGGGAUAACUUCAGGAAACUGGGGCUAAUACCGGAUAGGAGCUCCUGCUGCAUGGUGGGGGUUGGAAAGUUUCGGCGGUUGGGGAUGGACUCGCGGCUUAUCAGCUUGUUGGUGGGGUAGUGGCUUACCAAGGCUGUGACGGGUAGCCGGCCUGGGAGGGUGACCGGCCACAUUGGGCCUGAGAUACGGCCCAGACUCCUACGGGAGGCAGCGGUGGGGAAUAUUGCACAGUGGGCGGAAGCCUGAUGCAGCAACGCCGCGUGCGGGAUGACGGCCUUCGGGUUGUAAACCGCUUUCGCCUGUGACGAAGCGUGAGUGACGGUAAUGGGUAAAGAAGCACCGGCUAACUACGUG